rnacentral:tRNA from 1 species
GGCGCAUUCGUCUAGUGGUCAGGACAUGUGGUUCUCAUCCAUAAAACAGGGGUUCGAUUCCCCUAUGCGCCA